AGGUGAAUCAUUCAAUUUCCUGCUGGAGCUGCAGCCCAGAUUGCAGAAGACUUGAGUUCUUACCAGCAGUUGCAGGGACAUUGAUGUGAUAAGCACUGUGCAGAUUUUGAAGAAAAACAGCCACUGUGCCCUCAAACACCUGACAAGCUAAUUGCAAAGCUGAGAGACACCUGCUAAAUCCCUGAAAAUGCCAAGCAAACCAGUGAAGAGUAAACCAGCUGCUUUUAAAAAGGUAUCAAGAUUCAACUUGCUGCUGUAAGUCUGUUGUCCCUGAGUUCUGAGAAAACACACCUGCUUCAACUGGAAUAUUUUUCAUGAAAAGUCAAUAAAAACCAUGCAGUAGAAGCACCAAGAACAGAACCAAUUAAUAC